CAGCCUGGUUGCUGUAGCCACAGAGGAAUUUUCAAGGACAAGAACCAGUGCUGGUAAAACUGUGGUCUCGUGUGGUUUUCCAUACCGGCUCUCGGCAAGGAUUUUCAAGAAAGGAAUACCAUCUCCAAAUCAUGAUGUGCCAAUAAGCUCCAGUUAGCUGCGGCCUUUUCCCCAGGCGGUAGUCCUGCAAUCUGAAUCCAGGAGAUGCAGCUCUGAAUCCAAUAUUUCAGAAGAAUGAAGAUGAAGCAGACCCAGGAGGAACUGUCUGUUGAAGACCC